AGUUUGGAUUAAGACGUUGAGCAGUGCGGUUGGCCCUGGAAGUUGGAACAACACGGUGAUCUUCGCACUCCCCUCCUCCCUUCUGCGGUGGAGAGUUCCAGGUAUUCUCUUGGUUCUAGUGCUGUUCUGGGAGCUUUUUUUUUUUGCUAGGAAGUGCACAAGGCAAAAGGUUGGAAAGCUUGGUGAAGCUGUCGGUGUGCGCCGCGACGACCUUUGAGGUUGAGGAAGAAGAAGGUUCAGGUGAUUUCAACUUGAAAAGUUUGUGAAAAGUGAGGUUAGAAUUCUGCUAGAAUCUUCCACAGUGUGAUAGAGAGAUAAAUUAUCGAUUUUUUUUCCGUCGAGAAGGAUUUUCCUGCGCGUGCAGAAUCCUCGUGGGGUUCCCCCAGGUGAAAAAGGAAGCAAUUUUCCUUCGGAAGUGAAUCAUCAGUACCGUCGAAGAAGAAGAAAUUAUUUCUCGGAUAUUUCUCCGGAGGCAAUCCGGAGUUCAAAAGUGUGAGUCGGAAAAAAACGGUUCCAGUGUUGCCAGCCAGCCAGCCAGUGACAAAGACCCCCAGGGAGUCAAGCACCAUUAUCCUGCGUCCUGAGGAAGACAAAAAAAAAGAGCAAAAACGAAGCUAAGGAAACAUAAGCCUGAUUACAAGCAGCACCUCAAGUACGAUCAAAUUUUCUUCAAGAAGCCGAGAUCCAACAGGAGCUGCUCUCCGUAAACGACACCGGUGAAUCGUGAAAAAUUGAAUCACUUUCGAAUCCCAACGUACAAUUUUUCGGGGAAAAACGAAAAAAGGACCACGGAUUUUCCUGUCCCAAGAAGAAUCCCUCACCGGAUGGUGACAGCAACGACGUCCGAGGAGUGUGGCGACGGCGGCCAGGGUUUUCCAGUGACGGAAACCCGAACCUCGAAUUAACAAGCUUGAAGUGAAAAAUCGGUGAAAAAGUGGUUCUGGCGCAAAAAUAACGAAAAUUGUCACCCACGGUCGAAAAAGUGCUUGGUAAACAAAUAUUAAACCAUUAAUUUGCCCGGGAGAAAGUGUGUCCCAGGUCCGUCAUUAGUGUCCCCCAAGCAGCUGCUGUGUGACACCGUUGGGGAAAAAAGGGGAACGGAAAGGGGUUGGUGGUAAAUCAAAUUAAGGGGUGCGCUUUUGACGAAGGAGUGCCCACUUUGUUCGGGGUUGUUGUAUGCCAUAAUUAAAGGAAAACAGAGUGCGGUUUAGUGUGCGUUGGAUCGAUCGAGAAAAAGGAAAGUUCGAAGAGGCGCCGUGACCCGCCGGAACGUUCGGAACCCACACUGGGAUUCCCACCCUACCCCGGUCACCUCUGUCCGUGGGCCCAGUGUCUUUCGUCUUUCGUCCCCGUGCUCUUCUUCUCGGAAAGAUCGUCCCAAGCCAACUCCACUCUCCCAUCUGCCGCUACCGCUAGUGUCCAGCCUCGGUCGCAUCCGGAACAGCGCAAGUCGUCCCCCUGGCGCACGGUUCGCCCCGGAAGUCUUUCAACAUUCCGCUUUUCCAAUUAAAUGUUAUGCCGGCCGCGACCAUGUUUUCCAAGUUCAAAAGCAGCAGUACGAGCGCGCCGCCGCCCAACCCCUACGACAACAAUCCGAUCACGCAGUACUUUGAGAUUGGCAAGCAGAUCGCCUGUGCGGGCCCGGAACUAGUGUGGAAGAUCCACGAGGGCUACCGGAAGACGGACGGGAAGGAAUGUUCAAUAUUCGUGUUCGAGAAGCGUACCGCAGAAAAGCUACACAAACCAAAGCGAAAAGACAUGGUGACGGAAAUUCUGCGGGCAUCGGUCAAACAGCUGGAACGAUUUCGGCACCCCAAGAUUCUGCAGAUAAUGCACACCGUCGAGGAAAGUUCGGAGACCCUUUCGUUCGCCACCGAGCCCGUCAUCGCCAGUUUAGCGAACGUCUUAGCAUAUCAGGAAAGCGCCGGAACAGUACCGGGACCCCCGAGCACCGGUGCCUCCCAGCAGCUGCAGAACAGUUCCCCGGCGAACCGACCAGCCCACGCCAAGGAGUACAACUUCCUCGACAUUGAGCUCAAGUAUGGAAUUCUGCAGAUCACGGAAGCCCUCUCGUUCCUGCAUUACUCCGGCCAGGUGAUACACCGGAACGUGUGUCCCUCGUCGAUUCUGAUCACCAAGAAAGGCACCUGGAAGCUGGCCGGAUUCGAGUUCACCGAACGGGUCAACGAGCAGGACUCCACGGAUCCAGUGCCCUGCCAGCCCUGGUCGACGCGAACGUCCAAGAUGGUGCAACCGAACCUGGACUACAUGGCUCCAGAGAAUCAAAUUAACGCCAACUGCAGCAUACUGAGCGACAUGUUCUCCCUUGGAAUGGUUAUAUGUGCCAUCUUCAACCACGGGAGACCGUUGAUACAGUCCGGAAAUUCGCCGCCUGCGUACAUCAAACAAACGGAAAUGCUCGACGAAGCCGUGCACAAUAUGCUGCCCCGGAUACCCAUCCCGCUGCAGGAGGCGGUCACUCGGUUGCUGAAAAAGUCCCCCGUAGCCCGGCCCACGGCCCAGCUGCUGACACUCAUCAAAUACUUCAGCGAUCCUGCGGUCCAAGCGCUCCAGUUUCUGGACGUCAUCAACAUGAAGGAUCCCACGCAGAAGACCCACUUCUAUCGGAGUACGCUGCGAGAGGUGCUGCCCUUUCUGCCCCGGAAACUCUGGUGGCAACACAUCUGGCCCAAUCUCCAGCAGGAAAUGCGUGCUGAUGAAGUCCUGGCCGCCGUCCUGCAGCCCGCCCUCACCCUGGUCCAGGAAUCAUCGAACACCGAAUACGAAGCAAUCAUUUUACCAACGUUUAAGACUGUUUUUGUUGCUCCCAAAUCCAUCCAGGCGACCGUAGCGUUACUGGAGAACCUGCACAUAAUCCUGGAGAAAACACCCCGGGACGACAUCAGGACGGAAGUGCUUCCGUUGCUGUUCAACGCGCUCGAAAGUACAACGAUACAGGUGCAGAGUGCCGCCCUUGUGGCCGUCACGAACGUGUACGACUACCUGGACGACAUCACGAUCAAGAAGCUGGUGCUGCCGAAGCUCAAGGCGGUGUUCGAGAAGAACCAGAACGAUCUCAAGAUCAUGGGCAACGUGCUGCAGUGUGUCGAGCGGACGCUGGACAAGCUGGACAAGUCGCAGAUUAUAGACGAAGUGCUGCCUUUGCUACUGGAAGUUAGGUUAACCGAUCCGGAUAUUAUUGUGCGAGUUGUCAAUAUCUACCGGAUUAUGUUGUGUGAUAAAAAGUACGGUCUUACCGUGAACACCAUGGCCACGAAGGUGAUGCCAACCCUGCUGCCCCAGACUGUGAAUCCAUCGCUAAAUCUCGAACAAUUUAUGAUCCUGUUAGAGGUGCUCCAAGAGAUGCUGGACCAGAUCGACCGCCAGCAGCGGAACAAGCUGAAGCUGGACAACCUGUCGCUUCCGUCGCCGGACCGGCAUCGACCCCUACGUCACCAGUUCUCGUCGGACAACAUGAACGUGCAGCAGUUCAACAUCCCGAACUUGCGCAUCGACCAGCGAAAGACGUCCAGCGCCGAGGACAUGGCCCGGAAGAACUCGACAGGUACCCGAAGAGGUUCGGGUGCUCUAGGUAGCUGGUGGUUCGGCGGAUCGCCCUCGUCCCCCGACAGCAACUUCCUGCGGGUCGUCAACGCCUUCCCCAACCGGCGGCUGUCGGACAACACGCUCAUGACGCCCAAGAUCCGGAUCGCCCCGUCCUGCGCGUCGUCGCCCGGUGGUACUCCUGGCGGUGGUCUGCCAAUAAGACGCCACUCGAGCAUUGGUCCCCAGGAGCGACGAAGUUCCAACAUCAAUCUCUCACCACCGACUGGUUUCAGCGCUCGGGGCGGCUCCGGGUCGAGCCUUUCAGUGCCUGCCACUUCCGCUUCUUACGUACUUUCACGGAGCAUGAUCGGCGGCUCGAUGCCAAAUACGUCGAGUAGCGUGCCGUUCCUGCUCUCGUCCAGCAUGCAGUCGAUCCGAAGCCGCCGAACCUCGACCGUGCUGUCCUCGGGUCCGCUCGGCUCCGGAUCCGGUCUGCUCCAGCAGCUCGGUUCCGGCAUGUCGUCGAAGCUCGAAACGAAGCUGGCCAACAUUAAGCCACUGGAGCUGCUGACGUACUCGCCGGCGUCGCGACGCAGCAGUACGGCCACCGCCGCCGGCUUUCAGCGCAGCUUCCAGAAGAGCCAGAAGAAGGCGCUGAAGAAUCUGCGCAAGAGCUUCAAGCUCUGAAUCGCGGUGCGCCACGGUCCCAAGCGGUGCUCCUACCCAAGCCUCAAACUUGUGCGCCAACUUGAAGCCGCUGACCACGUGGUAGACUGGGAAGAGGACGGAGAUGUUGUGGAAGCAGGUGGGACCACGAUCUGGUCCUGGACGCUGGCGUACGGAGUGAUGCAAGAACUGGGGGAAUAUCUGAGGACCGUGCUGUGCUUCAACGGAUUGUGGGGGAAGAAUCGAUGCGACCGCUUGUACUAUGAACGUCGCCAAGAACAGCAAAGCUCAGUUUGUAGUGCCGUAUUCGUGUAAUUUUGUACUACUCCGGUUGUGCAAGCUACUCUCUUUGUGGAUGAUGGAUGUUGUUCGAAGCGAUUCGAAGCUUGACCAAACCAAACAUAGUAAAACCGCCAAUACGUGUCGUACAAUUAUUGCUAGUUGACAGAUUUUUGUAUCAUGCAAGCGACCAAAAAUUUGUAUAACCCUAAAACGAUAAACAGAACCAAAUUCUGAACACCAAAAACUUCAAAUCAGUACUGGAAAAAGUAACUAAAAACCGACCACGAUCCUCCUCCCUGUUUAGCGUGUACAAUGAUCGUUAGCACAGUAGCUUUCCGAGCGCUCCUCCUCCUAGCGGAGCACGCUCGAGAAAUUCCCUCUUCUAAGGAAGACCCCAAACCGAACUUCACACCCAUCACACACACACACACCACUCACUCUCACUCACUCUGUAGAGACCGUAACAUGUCCUCUAUCAGGAGUCCUUUUUACGAGACCGCCCAUGAUACACCGUAAACCAUGAUUUGACCAAACCAAGCAUCAAGUAUAGCGAUCCCAAAGACCUACUACCAAAGUAUCAAGUAUUGGAAUCUUGUAGAGUGUAUCGUCCUCCGUACGAACGUCCAGCCUAGAGCCUAGAGACGAGCGUCAGUUAUACACACUGAUGACCCGAGAUAGAUUUGGUGGCGCCGGUGGGCAACCGGCCGGAUCAACAGGACCCCCAUCAUCCACGACGGCGGCAGCGCCACCAACAUCUCAAACAAACAACAACAGCAACGUCACCA